rnacentral:rRNA from 1 species
GACGAACGCUGGCGGCGUGCUUCAUACAUGCAAGUCGAACGAGAAGCUGACUUCGGUCAGUGGAAAGUGGCGGACGGGUGAGUAAUAUGUAGGAAAUCUGCCUUUAGGAGGGGGACAACAGAGGGAAACUUCUGCUAAUACCCCAUAUGAGCGUAGCUGAAAUGCUAUUCUUGAAAACUCCGGUGCCUAAAGAUGAGCCUGCAUCUGAUUAGCUAGUUGGUAGUGUAAUGGACUACCAAGGCGACGAUCAGUAGCUGGUUUGAGAGGAUGAUCAGCCACAAUGGGACUGAGACACGGACCAUACUCCUACGGGAGGCAGCAGUAGGGAAUUGUGCGCAAUGGGCGAAAGCCUGACGCAGCAACGCCGCGUGAACGAUUAAGCCCUUCGGGGUGUAAAGUUCUGUCAGUGGGGACGAAACUUGACGGUACCCACAGAGGAAGCACCGGCUAACUCCGUG